UUCCAAAAGUGAAACAAGUGCGCGUCGUGAUUAGUAUUUAGAAGGUGGCCAUUGUAGAACAAUAUAAUUAUUGUUGUUAGAAGCAUGCAGUGAAAGGAAUUGUUAAAAGUUAUUGUUCAAAGACAUUGAAUGCAUGCAGUGUUAAAAGGACAAUUAUUAGUAGCUGUUAGUAUAAAGAGUGUUACUUUGUAUUAGUACGAUAGCACAAAAAGUUAGUGGAAGAACAACGAAUCAGUUAAUAAGCUUAAAUCUACAAGAAAAAGGUCCACAAAGCGGGCCUUUUUCUGUUUCUUCAACCUUUUCAUUAGGCAAGUGGACGUUCGAGUGAGUGGAAGUGGCCUCGUUCCGGAGUGUAUCCAGGCCGGUCACAGCUGAAUCGCCAUCGCUGUGGGCCCCCGAAAGGUCGAAGCCAUCAUUAUCGACUACCCUCGCCACCGCCGCCAUCUUCCUCGCCCCGAAGCCUCCUCACUGCCUCCCCGCUGAUCCGACCCUCGUCAAGAACCGCCAUUUUGGAAAACUGGUACGUCGCCGGAUAGUUUUGGCCCUGUGAACCCCUGCUGUCGAUACCGGAAGCUUACCUGCGCCAUCUACCGGUUGUCGUCGACACCAAGACAUUGCCGAAUCCAAGUCAACGGUCGGCCUACCAUCAACUUUGGCCGUGUAGGCUGGCGUGCCCAAUAGCGCCCCGACCAGCAUCAGAAGCAACCCCCCCACCGCCGAGGACCCACCGUAGAAGCCACCAAUAGUCGAUAUGCUCAGACACGCAAGUACCCUUGACGUCACAAUCCAGCUUUUUACGAUCGCUAAUGGCUGCCGCAAACAGGCUC